AUUCAUAAUUUGUUUCUGUAUCUGGCACCCUUAUGUCCUAAUUUGCAUUGGGGAAGUCACAAAUGGUAUCAGAGUAGUUAUGCAGACCAAAUCCCUUACAACUAAGGCCGUAGUAGAUAGACCAAAUCCCUUACAACUAAGGCCGUAGUAGAUAGACCAAAUCCCUUACAACUUGUGUCUUCCUUUCUUUUGUAGGAAUGACGCGAGGAAGACCAUUCGUAGAACGUACUAAAAGACCUAAGGCUUAGGACCAUCCAACUAGGGCUGAGUUUACUAAACUCUUCUAAGCUAUCUAGGGAUUGACCACAGUCGUACGAUAAAACCAAGCCAACCCUUAUCAAUACCCUGGCCCCAAAUACCAUACAGCCGGAAGGUCUAUCUCUCACAACAUAGUAGAGUUUAGAAAGCUUAAC
rnacentral:lncRNA from 1 species